UACGGGGGGGGCAAGCGUUGUUCGGAAUUACUGGGCGUAAAGGGCUCGUAGGCGGCCAACUAAGUCAGACGUGAAAUCCCCAGGCUCAACCUGGGAACUGCGUCUGAUACUGGAUGGCUUGAAUCCGGGAGAGGGAUGCGGAAUUCCAGGUGUAGCGGUGAAAUGCGUAGAUAUCUGGAGGAACACCGGUGGCGAAGGCGGCAUCCUGGACCGGCAUUGACGCUGAGGCGCGAAAGCGUGGGGAGCAAACAGG
rnacentral:rRNA from 1 species